UACGUAGGGGGCGAGCGUUUGUCCGGAUUUAUUGGGCGUAAAGAGCGUGUAGGCGGUCCGGUAAGUCAGCUGUGAAAGUCAAGGGCUCAACCCUUGAAUGCCGGUUGAUACUGUCGGGCUAGAGUCCGGAAGAGGCGGAGUGGAAUUCCCGGUGUAGCGGUGAAAUGCGUAGAUAUCAGGAGGAAUACCGAUGGCGAAGGCAGGUCUCUGGGCUGACACUGACGCUCAUGCACGAAAGCGUGGGGAGCAAACAGG
rnacentral:rRNA from 1 species